GACAUAGGUGGCGAACGUUAUCCGGAAUUACUGGGCGUAAAGCGUGCGCAGGCGGUUCGUUGUGUCGGCGGUGAAAGCCCCGGGCUUAACCUGGGAAUGGCCGUUGAAACUGGCGAACUGGAGUGUGGCAGAGGGGGGUGGAAUUCCGCGUGUAGCAGUGAAAUGCGUAGAGAUGCGGAGGAACACCGAUGGCGAAGGCAGCCCCCUGGGCUAACACUGACGCUCAGGCACGAAAGCGUGGGGAGCAAACAGG
rnacentral:rRNA from 1 species